rnacentral:rRNA from 1 species
AGCGAACGCUGGCGGCAGGCCCAACACAUGCAAGUCGAACGAAGUCUUCGGACUUAGUGGCGGACGGGUGAGUAACACGUGGGAACGUGCCUUUAGGUUCGGAAUAACUCAGGGAAACUUGUGCUAAUACCGAAUGUGCCCUUCGGGGGAAAGAUUUAUCGCCUUUAGAGCGGCCCGCGUCUGAUUAGCUAGUUGGUGAGGUAAAGGCUCACCAAGGCGACGAUCAGUAGCUGGUCUGAGAGGAUGAUCAGCCACAUUGGGACUGGGACACGGCCCAAACUCCUACGGGAGGCAGCAGUGGGGAAUCUUGCGCAAUGGGCGAAAGCCUGACGCAGCCAUGCCGCGUGAAUGAUGAAGGUCUUAGGAUUGUAAAAUUCUUUCACCGGGGACGAUAAUGACGGUACCCGGAGAAGAAGCCCCGGCUAACUUCGUGCCAGCAGCCGCCGUAAGAC